GGUGAGUAACACGUGGGCAACCUGCCCUGCAGACUGGGAUAACUUCGGGAAACCGGAGCUAAUACCGGAUAACACCGAAAACCGCAUGGUUUUCGGUUGAAAGGCGGCUUUUAGCUGUCACUGCAGGAUGGGCCCGCGGCGCAUUAGCUAGUUGGUGAGGUAACGGCUCACCAAGGCGACGAUGCGUAGCCGACCUGAGAGGGUGACCGGCCACACUGGGACUGAGACACGGCCCAGACUCCUACGGGAGGCAGCAGUAGGGAAUCUUCCGCAAUGGACGAAAGUCUGACGGAGCAACGCCGCGUGAGCGAAGAAGGUCUUCGGAUCGUAAAGCUCCGUUGUCAGGGAAGAACAAGUACCGUUCGAACAGGGCGGUACCUUGACGGUACCUGACGAGGAAGCCACGGCUAACUACGUGCCAGCAGCUGCGGUAAUACGUAGGUGGCAAGCGUUGUCCGGAAUUAUUGGGCGUAAAGCGCGCGCAGGCGGUUCCUUAAGUCUGAUGUGAAAUCUCGCGGCUCAACCGCGAGCGGCCAUUGGAAACUGGGGGACUUGAGUGCAGGAGAGGAAAGCGGAAUUCCAUGUGUAGCGGUGAAAUGCGUAGAGAUAUGGAGGAACACCAGUGGCGAANGCGGCUUUCUGGCCUGUAACUGACGCUGANGCGCGAAAGCGUGGGGAACAAACAGGAUUAGAUACCCUGGUAGUCCACGCC
rnacentral:rRNA from 1 species